rnacentral:rRNA from 1 species
CUGCUGCCUCCCGUAGGAGUCUGGUCCGUGUCUCAGUACCAGUGUGGGGGACCUUCCUCUCAGAACCCCUAGACAUCGUCGCCUUGGUGGGCCGUUGCCCCGCCAACUAGCUAAUGUCACGCAUGCCCAUCCGUUGCCGGAAUCGCUCCCUUUGGCCGCAGGGCCAUGCAGCCCCGCGGCGUUACGCGGUAUUAGACGGGAUUUCUCCCGAUUAUCCCCCCUGCAACGGGCAGGUCGCAUACGCGUUACUCACCCGUGCCG